rnacentral:lncRNA from 1 species
AUGAGUGGACCACCAACACCUCCACAACAGACACUCACUCAGUCCAUCGCCAUGGGAACAGUGGUAGCGGUCCCUGAGUGUGCUGAGGCAUUCUCUCAUGGCCUCAUGGUGCCCUUGCUGCAGGUUGAACAUCUCGGCUACAUCUUCAAAGCGCUGAUCAAGUUCAGGGAUGCCAACGUGCCGGGCAAUAAACCUGCCACUUCUCUGGGAUGCGUCUGUGAUAUACAAAUAAGUUAUCAUCAUCCCUCACUAUAUGAGAAUACAACUGAAGUGGCUUAUGGUUAUUGAAUACAUAUCAGCUACAUAACCUUGUGAGUAGUGUGAAGAUGUUUUUGUAAGUCACCACACUGACCAUUAUGUGCUGGACGAGACUGGCGUGCAGACUGUGGUUGCCCUUGCAAAAGAGGUUGUCUCUGAAACACAUUGAGAAAGAUGGAUUUGGAGGUAAUUCUGAGAUCUGGGAGUGACACUACAGCGUUUCAUAACCAGGCCUCUACGUGGAAAACUCAAAAGACACCGCAGUCGUAGACCAUAAUUUGUUUCAAAUAAUGGCACAGGCAUUAUCUGUUUAUUCAAAUAGAUAACCUCGUCUCCAAAUAGCAUAACUAACACAGCCAGUCAACAAUUGAUGAAAGUAGGUUAUGCAUUGUUUAGACAGCCUACUGCCUUUGUCCCACUUAUCUCAUUUUGGAGGUUAGUCAGGCCGGUUACAUAAAAAACUACCGUGAAAAUGAAUUUGCAAAUUUGGAAACUGUAAUGUGCUAGUGUCAUUAUGGCUCAAAUGACCUCUAACGACAGCAUUGUUGUUCAGUUUCUAGGUUAAUGGAAAUGUUUUGCCUGUGUUAUGGGUACAGCCAAGACAAAUAUUAGAAUUUAGCAAUGCUAGACACAAAGGUAACGAGAGUAGACUACAUGUUUGGCAGCCUAAUCGCGCGACCUACCUCGUUGGAAACUUCCUCGUUCGGUUGUAGGGUGUUCUCUGAGGACCUGAAACAGCAACAAAGUACGUUCGUAAACGGCAUUAUGAAAUAUCUUGAAACUGCAUCACCUCAGUCAUCUCGGGAAGUAAAUAGUUUAUCAUCUGAUCUGAAACACAAGGUGACGUCAGUGUCAUGGGACCUCAGGAAAAGUAUACUUUGUAGCCUAGAGUGAAAGCCUGUCACACGUGCCUCAAAGAGAGUGGAACUUUGGAGAACUUUGCAAAGCGCAAUAUUAGCUAUAUCUUUCCUCCAAGACAGUCGUUUCAGAUAAGAUCAAGUAAAAUGAUGAAUUUUAGAACGAUCUAAAUACUUCCAAAUGAAACCGUGUAGGCUACCCAAGUCAUAUUAAUGAGUAACCUAGGCUAGGUGAACUUCAGCAGGACACGCCCUUAAAUUAUUAGCCAAAUUUAACCUAUAGACAUAGGACACAAAUAAAACCAUUAUAUAUGUGUUUCA